AAGGGCGAAGGGUUAAUAGCCCCUAGCUUGACGGUACCCGACGAGGAAGCCCCGGCUAACUACGUGCCAGCAGCCGCGGUAAUACGUAGGGGGCGAGCGUUGUCCGGAAUCAUUGGGCGUAAAGAGCGUGUAGGCGGCUCGGUAAGUCCGCUGUGAAAACCCGGGGCUCAACCCCGGGCGUGCAGUGGAUACUGCCGGGCUAGAGGACGGCAGAGGCGAGUGGAAUUCCCGGUGUAGCGGUGAAAUGCGCAGAUAUCGGGAGGAACACCAGUAGCGAAGGCGGCUCGCUGGGCCGUUCCUGACGCUGAGACGCGAAAGCUAGGGGAGC
rnacentral:rRNA from 1 species